AGGGUCUUUACAGGAUAGACUUCCUUAUAUGCUUGUUCAUCUCUGCAUGAGUCUCAAACUCAGGUUUCUGGCCAAGUAGGCCUAUGAUUUUCUUUUUGUUUUGUCAUGAACAGAUCCUCAGAGCCUCUUGGGUUUUGAAACAUCUUGAAAAGACAAGAAUAACUAUAAAAUGGGAAGGUGUUACAGUAUCUGAAUGAUGCUCAGACCUUGAACUCCUAGAGGGAAGACGUGGCUGCCUUACCAGCACUGGCACUAUGUGAAUGCUCAGAUGCUCAUUCCCGGGGGCUGACUGAGGAGUAGUCCGUGUUACAGCCACUGCUCCUAGAAUGCUGAGAGGCUUGGGGAGUACUGGUGAGACACCUCGGGACACUUUGGUGGUGGUGCCUGGAGACAUUUGUGGAAGUCCAGGAGUUCCUAGGUGUCCCCAAUCCAUGAAUGUCCCUGUCCUGCACAAACCAGACUAAAUGCACAGUGGCUCUGAGGGGAUGAAGACUUGGCAGUCUAGUCAGCAACUAACCUGGAUGCUGCAGGUCCCUGAAAGUACCACAUGAUCUCUGCUUGUUUCCCUCCUCUCUUCCUUUGCCAUUUGAACUCCCACCAUACGUGAAGAGGCUCAGGUAAUUGAUGUCUGGGAAGAGGAUGCUGACUGUUCCCUCAGGUAAGAGUUACGUGCCAGACCUGGGCAAACCACGUUGAGGCCCUCCUAGCUCAGGUAUUUUAAUGGCCUCUUUGUGGAGUGUGAACCUCUUAGACCUUAACCUAGAGGACCUUGGUGCAGAAAAGCCUAGCAGAUGGAGGGGAAAAUGGAAACAGGAGUUGGAUAUAGAGGUUAGCCUCAGGGGAAAGAAUGUGGUUUGAGUUAGGAAAUGAGGAGGUGGGUAGGAGGGAAGGUGCAGAUAUAUUUCAGGUGGCUCUCUGGCCAUCUCACUCCCCCUCUCUCUCCAUAGUAAGGAAACAUGAAAAUGUUAAUAGAACGUUCCCCAGGGCAGGUGCUGUCCCUGAUCACAGCCAUUCAUUCGCUGAGUAAUGAACUCCACUGUGUUCCUUUCAUAUUAUUAUUCGAG